AGUGAACGCUGGCGGUAGGCCUAACACAUGCAAGUCGAACGGCAGCACAGUAAGAGCUUGCUCUUACGGGUGGCGAGUGGCGGACGGGUGAAGAAUACAUCGGAAUCUACUUUUUCGUGGGGGAUAACGUAGGGAAACUUACGCUAAUACCGCAUACGACCUACGGGUGAAAGCAGGGGAUCUUCGGACCUUGCGCGAGUGAAUGAGCCGAUGUCGGAUUAGCUAGUUGGCGGGGUAAAGGCCCACCAAGGCGACGAUCCGUAGCUGGUCUGAGAGGAUGAUCAGCCACACUGGAACUGAGACACGGUCCAGACUCCUACGGGAGGCAGCAGUGGGGAAUAUUGGACAAUGGGCGCAAGCCUGAUCCAGCCAUACCGCGUGGGUGAAGAAGGCCUUCUGGUUGUAAAGCUCUUUUGUUGGGAAAGAAAAGCAGCAGGUUAAUACCCCGCUGUUCUGACGGUACCCAAAGAAUAAGCACCGGCUAACUUCGUG
rnacentral:rRNA from 1 species